UACGUAGGGUGCGAGCGUUGCCCGGAUUUAUUGGGCGUAAAGGGCGCGUAGGCGGCUUGGCACGUCCGUUGUGAAAUCGCCCGGCUCAACUGGGCGGGGGCAGCGGAUACGGCCGAGCUUGAGCAAGCUAGGGGGCAAUGGAAUUCCCGGUGUAGUGGUGGAAUGCGUAGAUAUCGGGAGGAACACCAGUGGCGAAGGCGGUUGCCAGGGGCUUUGCUGACGCUGAUGCGCGAAAGCGUGGGGAGCGAUCCGG
rnacentral:rRNA from 1 species